AUGAACGCUGGCGGCGUGCCUAAUACAUGCAAGUCGCGCGAACGGACGAGAAGCUUGCUUCUCUGAUGUUAGCGGCGGACGGGUGAGUAACACGUGGAUAACCUACCUAUAAGACUAGGAUAACUUCGGGAAACCGGAGCUAAUACCGGAUGAUAUUUUGAACCGCAUGGUUCAAAAGUGAAAGACGGUCUUGCUGUCACUUAUAGAUGGAUCCGCGCUGCAUUAGCUAGUUGGUAAGGUAACGGCUUACCAAGGCAACGAUGCAUAGCCGACCUGAGAGGGUGAUCGGCCACACUGGAACUGAGACACGGUCCAGACUCCUACGGGAGGCAGCAGUAGGGAAUCUUCCGCAAUGGGCGAAAGCCUGACGGAGCAACGCCGCGUGAGUGAUGAAGGUCUUCGGAUCGUAAAACUCUGUUAUUAGGGAAGAACAUAUGUGUAAGUAACUGUGCACAUCUUGACGGUACCUAAUCAGAAAGCCACGGCUAACUACGUG
rnacentral:rRNA from 1 species